AGAACGAACGCUGGCGGCAGGCCUAACACAUGCAAGUCGAACGCCCUAGCAAUAGGGAGUGGCAGACGGGUGAGUAACGCGUGGGAAUCUACCUUGUGGUACGGAACAACCAAGGGAAACUUUGGCUAAUACCGUAUGAGCCCUUCGGGGGAAAGAUUUAUCGCCAUAAGAUGAGCCCGCGUAGGAUUAGCUAGUUGGUGAGGUAAUGGCUCACCAAGGCGACGAUCCUUAGCUGGUCUGAGAGGAUGACCAGCCACACUGGGACUGAGACACGGCCCAGACUCCUACGGGAGGCAGCAGUGGGGAAUAUUGGACAAUGGGCGCAAGCCUGAUCCAGCCAUGCCGCGUGUGUGAUGAAGGCCUUAGGGUUGUAAAGCACUUUCGCCGAUGAAGAUAAUGACUGUAGUCGGAGAAGAAGCCCCGGCUAACUUCGUGCCAGCAGCCGC
rnacentral:rRNA from 1 species